rnacentral:rRNA from 1 species
AGUGGCGAACGGGUGAGUAAUGCAUCGGAACGUGCCCAGUCGUGGGGGAUAACGCAGCGAAAGCUGUGCUAAUACCGCAUACGAUCUAUGGAUGAAAGCGGGGGACCGUAAGGCCUCGCGCGAUUGGAGCGGCCGAUGUCAGAUUAGGUAGUUGGUGGGGUAAAGGCUCACCAAGCCAACGAUCUGUAGCUGGUCUGAGAGGACGACCAGCCACACUGGGACUGAGACACGGCCCAGACUCCUACGGGAGGCAGCAGUGGGGAAUUUUGGACAAUGGGCGCAAGCCUGAUCCAGCAAUGCCGCGUGCAGGAAGAAGGCCUUCGGGUUGUAAACUGCUUUUGUACGGAACGAAACGGUCUGGGUUAAUACCCUGGGCUAAUGACGGUACCGUAAGAAUAAGCACCGGCUAGCUACGUGCCAGCAGCCGCGGUAAUACGUAGGGUGCAAGCGUUAAUCGGAAUUACUGGGCGUAAAGCGUGCGCAGGCGGUUUUGUAAGACAGGCGUGAAAUCCCCGGGCUCAACCUGGGAAUUGCGCUUGUGACUGCAAAGCUGGAGUGCGGCAGAGGGGGAUGGAAUUCCGCGUGUAGCAGUGAAAUGCGUAGAUAUGCGGAGGAACACCGAUGGCGAAGGCAAUCCCCAGGGCCUGCACUGACGCUCAUGCACGAAAGCGUGGGAGCAAACAGGAUUAGAUACCCUGGU